GAAGUCGUUGCCGAGUGGUUAAGGCGAUGGACUCGAAGUCCAUUGGGGUUUCCCCACGCAGGUUCGAGGCCUGCCGAUUACA